rnacentral:sRNA from 1 species
AUCAUCGAUCUGCUGGGGACAGAUGAAGUGGAUGUGGACAUCCAGCGCCCCGGCGGUCAGGAUCUUGCCCUCGCCCGCAAUGGCUUCCGUUCCCGGACCGACGAUGAUGUUGACGCCGGGCUGGACGUCCGGAUUGCCCGCCUUGCCGAUGCCGACAAUGCGGCCGUCCUUGAGGCCGACGUCCGCUUUCACGAUGCCCCAGUGAUCCACGAUCAGGACAUUGGUGAUAACCGUAUCCACCGCGCCAGCGGAGCGGGGGUGCUGGCCCUGCCCCAUGCCGUCGCGGAU